rnacentral:rRNA from 1 species
GUGCAGCAGUCGCGAAAACUCUGCAAUACGCGAAAGCGUGACAGGGCUACCCCGAGUGUCGUCCGCUGAGGACGACUUUUCCACGCUGUAAGGAGGCGUGGGAAUAAGGAGAGGGCAAGUCUGGUGUCAGCCGCCGCGGUAAUACCAGCUCUCCGAGUGGUAGGGACGUUUAUUGGGCUUAAAGCGUCCGUAGCCGGCUCAACAAGUCUCCCGUUAAAUCCAACGAUUCAAUCGUUGGGCUGCGGGGAAUACUCGUCGGCUUGGGGGCGAGGGAGGUCGGCGGUAGUCCCGGGGUAGGGGCGAAAUCCUAUAAUCCCGGGAAGACCACCAGUGGCGUAGGCGGUCGGCUAGCACGCGCUCGACAGUGAGGGACGAAAGCUGGGGUAGCGAACCGGAUUAGAUACCCGCGUAGUCC